rnacentral:rRNA from 1 species
ACGGGAGGCAGCAGUGAGGAAUAUUGGUCAAUGGAGGCAACUCUGAACCAGCCAUCUCGCGUGAAGGAAUACGGCCCUACGGGUCUUAAACUUCUUUUAUAGGGGGAUAAAGUGAGCCACGUGUGGCUUUUUGUAGGUACCCUAUGAAUAAGCAUCGGCUAACUCCGUGCCAGCAGCCGCGGUAAUACGGAGGAUCCGAGCGUUAUCCGGAUUUAUUGGGUUUAAAGGGAGCGUAGGCGGUAGAUCAAGUCAGCUGUGAAAUAUAGGUGCUCAACAUCUGGACUGCAGUUGAAACUGGUUUACUUGAGUGCGUAAGAGGCAGGCGGAAUUCGUCGUGUAGCGGUGAAAUGCUUAGAUAUGACGAAGAACUCCGAUUGCGAAGGCAGCUUGCUGGGCCGCAACUGACGCUGAAGCUCGAAGGUGCGGGUAUCGAACAGGAUUAGAUACCCUGGUA